rnacentral:lncRNA from 1 species
CAGAUUUGUAAAAAAUAAAACCUUUUUUUGGUGUAGAUAACAUUUACCAGACAGAAUGAAGAAAUGAACGGCUAAUUCAAUUGUUUUGUUUUCAUUUUAGUAACAUCUUUCAUGGUAAAUACAUGGAUCUUAUUAACGAAAUAAAACAUUUAAAUACUUAACUUGCUCUAAAAUAACUUGACAGAGUCACACUCGUAAAACAUGUGUAUAAUAGCUUCCCCUUCUUUAUCACAGAAAAUGCAUCAUUAUGUUCUCUAAGUCCAUGAAUUUAGACAAGUUAUUGCAAGGGUAUAUUUUGAACAAGAUUUUAAAGGGAGCAACCAAGCUUUCUUCCAUUCAAUUUCAGUAGAUCUAUGAAUUCCAGAAGAAUUUCCCUCUAUGAGGGAUCUUGUUCAUGGAGUUCAAGUUAUCUUAAGAAUGUAUUACAUUUCUUAUCCAGCAGGGGGCAACCUUUUAACAUUGUGCAUCUAUCAUGACAUGUUCUCCAAAGCAAAAAAUGCGAUUUAAUUAAGUCCUGAAGGUAUUGGUUUGAAUAUAGAAUUACAUCAUUACUGUAUUUUUACAACUAUCGUAGGUUUAUACAAUUGUAACCCCUUAUUUUAGGUACUUACAUUUUUUAAACUCAAUUCAUAUGUAGUGAUUUGUAUUUAUUUUUUUACUUUUUGUUUCUUCAGAUAAAAUAUAUGCGUAGUGAUGUCCUAUGUAUUUUUUGUGGUAUUAUAAUAUAUACAAUUGAUUUAGUGAAGGCGGAGGCACUUGGUCAUGGCUAGAAGGGACCCAGCGUUUGUCAAAUUAACGUCAGAUUUGAUUUAUUUUAAGCAGGUUAGGAGAACACACUGCAGGUUCAGGUUAGGAGAACACGCUGCAGGUUAGGAGAACACGCCGCAGGUUAGGAGAACACGCUGCUGGUUCAGGUUAGGAGAACACGCUGCAGGUUAGGAGAACACGCCGCAGGUUAGGAGAACACGCUGCAGGUUAGGAGAACACGCUGCAGGUUAGGAGAACACGCUGCAGGUUCAGGUUAGGAGAACACGCCGCAGGUUAGGAGAACACGCUGCUGGUUCAGGUUAGGAGAACACGCCGCAGGUUAGGAGAACACGCCGCAGGUUCAGGUUAGGAGAACACGCUGCAGGUUAGGAGAAC